GCUGGGCACAGUGGCCUAUGCCUGUAAUCCCAGCACUUUGGGAGGCCGAGGUGGGUGGAUCACCUGAGGUCAGGAGUUUGAGACCAGCCUGACCAACAUGGUGAAACCCCGUCUCUA
ensembl:misc_RNA Metazoa_SRP Metazoan signal recognition particle RNA